rnacentral:rRNA from 1 species
CCUACGGGAGGCAGCAGUGGGGGAUAUUGCACAAUGGAGGAAACUCUGAUGCAGCGACGCCGCGUGGGCGAAGAAGUAUUUCGGUGUGUAAAGCCCUUUCAGCAGGGAAGAAGAAAUGACGGUACCUGAGUAAGAAGCACUGGCUAAAUACGUGCCAGCAGCCGCGGUAAUACGUAGGGUGCAAGCGUUAGCCGGAUUUACUGGGUGUAAAGGGAGCGCAGGCGGCACGGCAAGCCUGAUGUGAAAGCCCGCGGCCCAACCGCGGGACUGCAUUGGGUACUACCGGGCUGGAGUGCAGGGGAGGUAGGCGGAAUGCAUAGUGUAGCGGUGAAAUGCCUAGAGAUUA